UCAAAUCUUCAAGUUGAUAUAUGUGAGACAGGCUCUCCGAGCUUUUCAUUUCUCAAUUUCAACGUGCGGUUGGAAGUGAUGCCAUCUUAUAACCUGGCAACUGGGCGAGGAAGGUCCCAGUCAGUCACAAUGUGGUUACGGGUAAUCUCCCCCAAUGAGCGGCAGCCAUUUAAUGCCAUUGUUAGCUCGAACUCAUCACGAAGCAUCUGAAGUCCUUUCCUAAU
rnacentral:misc_RNA from 1 species